rnacentral:rRNA from 1 species
AACGAACGCUGGCGGCAGGCUUAACACAUGCAAGUCGAACGCACCUUUCGGGGUGAGUGGCAGACGGGUGAGUAACGCGUGGGAAUCUACCCUUCUCUACGGGAUAGCUCCGGGAAACUGGAAUUAAUACCGUAUACGUCCUGAGGGAGAAAGAUUUAUCGGGGAAGGAUGAGCCCGCGUUGGAUUAGCUAGUUGGUGGGGUAAAGGCCUACCAAGGCGACGAUCCAUAGCUGGUCUAAGAGGAUGAUCAGCCACAUUGGGACUGAGACACGGCCCAAACUCCUACGGGAGGCAGCAGUGGGGAAUAUUGGACAAUGGGCGCAAGCCUGAUCCAGCCAUGCCGCGUGAGUGAUGAAGGCCCUAGGGUUGUAAAGCUCUUUCAGUGGGGACGAUAAUGACGGUACCCACAGAAGAAGCCCCGGCGAACUUCGU